GCCGGGUGUGGUGGCUCACGCCUUUAAUCCUAGCACUUUGGGAGGCUGAGGCAGGUGGAUUGCUUGAGCUCAGGAGUUCGAGACCAGCCUGGGCAACACGGUGAAACCCUGUCUUUACUAAAAUAGAAAAAAUUAGCCGGGCAUGGAGGCAAGUGCCUGUAAUCCCAGCUACUCGGAAGGCUGAGGCAGGAGAAUUGUUAGAACCCGGCAGGUGGAGGUUGCAGUGAAUGGAGAUUGACCACUGCGAUCCAGCCUGGGCGACAGAGCGAGACUCUGUCUCU
rnacentral:sRNA from 1 species